rnacentral:lncRNA from 1 species
UCUGUUGGAACCCGGAAUCUUGAAGCUGGAAUCUCCUUAAGAAGGGUAAAAUAAGGUUUUUAUUAAAUGAAUUUGAAAAUUUUAAGGUUUUGAGUUAAAAAGAAAGAAAAUAGUUUUGAAGGAAACCCCAGGUUCGGCCGCCAAAUCUUCAAGUUCAGCCACCGAAGGUGGUGCGACCGCGGGACCUCCCAUUUCGGCCCCGAAGGUGGUUUGUCCAGCCACC